CCUACGGGUGGCAGCAGUGGGGAAUAUUGCACAAUGGGGGAAACCCUGAUGCAGCGACGCCGCGUGAGUGAAGAAGUAAUUCGUUACGUAAAGCUCUAUCAGCAGGGAAGAAAAUGACGGUACCUGUGUAAGAAGCCCCGGCUAACUACGUGCCAGCAGCCGCGGUAAUACGUAGGGGGCAAGCGUUAUCCGGAUUUACUGGGUGUAAAGGGAGCGUAGACGGUGUGCCAAGUCUGGAGUGAAAUGCCGCAGCCUAAAUGCGGAACUGCUUUGGAAACUGGCGAACUAGAGUGCGGGAGGGGUAAGCGGAAUGCGUGGUGUAGCGGUGAAAUGCGUAGAUAUUAGGAGGAACACCGGUGGCGAAGGCGGCUUACUGGACCGUAACUGACGUUGAGGCACGAAAGCGUGGGGAGCGAACAGGAUUAGAUACCCCUGUAGUC
rnacentral:rRNA from 1 species